UGCAACUCAUGUUGUCUUGGAUUUAUCCCAUCGUCUAUCUGGUUCAACUCAUCUCUUCAAUAGUUGAAACUCCACUAUUCCAUUCCGUCCAACUUUAUUUCUCAAUAUUGACACUCAAAUCCAUACUACAAUUCGGAGCAUCUGGAGUCUCCACUUAGCAAUCAACGUCUUCCUGUUCAAUUGCCUCUUCCUUAGUGUAUAGUAUAUAUAUAUCAGCUGAAAUAGGGAUGCUCAUUCCGCAAAGAGGCCACCACCUCCGCCGCGCUGGCUCACCGGUAAUUAGCUACCACCUUAUUCUUAUUGGAUUGAAUUUCUGAUAUGCAUGCAACUCAUUACAUAUGUAUAUCUAUUUAGCAUUGAUUUUAGGUGAGAACAUCAUCAUCAAAAAAAAAUCCAACAAAAAUUAGUCGGGUAUUUUCACACCAAAACUAAUAUCGUCACGCGCGGGAUACAAUCAUGUACUGUAUAGGUACUUUUGAUAAAGGUUCCAAGGUGUUUGAGUGACCAUUUGGCAUUUGUAUAUACUACUUUUAAUUGUCUAAGAGCAAAGUCUAAACUAAAAGAUGCCUCGUAUGAUAUCUUAAACUAAAAUUUAGGACAUUUGAUUAAAAAGUUGAUCCAACAUAAACUAAAAUUUAGGACAUUUGAUUGAAAAUUUGAUCCAAUAGUAUCCUAGUAAUGUCUUAUGCAGGGUUUGAUAUAAGUAUUCACUGCCAAUGACGAGAAACACUUCAAUUUUAUAGCUAGAUAUUGCUAUCUCGUAUUUGGACUGAGUGAGCAUUUAAUUUUUGCUGUCUGAAUCACGUUAGGCAGAUGAACUGGUAUGUCAUGUGAGCUGAAAGCUAGUACUUUCUAUAUAUCAAUGGAAUGUUGACAAGAUAAAAGGAAAUCCAGUAAAAUCCGAAACUAAUCCAGUAAAAUACAUGUCAAACUCUGCCAAGUAGUUGUAGUUGGCAAUCAACAAGAUCCAGCUAUCAGCAAACACAAAUGAUCAAGUCACAUAAGCAAACUGGAAGCCACAAUUUCACACAUAAUUACAACCACAUUGUCAUUUAAACAUCACAUUACAGUACAACAAACUUCUAGGGUAGAGAACAUUACUCAAACCUCAUACCUAGUACUCGAAAUAUGCAAGAUUACACACACUUUAUUCAUACAUCUCUAACAUACUUGAAGUUUGUACUCAAACUUCAUGCUAGUAGUAGUUAGUUAUUUGCAAUACACAACCGUACAUAUCCGACCCGAAGACAACAAAACAGGAUAUGUACUUGCAAACCUUCUUGGCCUGCCCCCAUAGAUGAACAGCAAGAUAGUUAACUAGACACAGAUCACAUUGAUCUUCUGGCCGACAUACACAAGAUGCACCGCGAGUGAUAUUAUUGUCAUUAUAUUAAGGUGUGAGGAGAUCUUGUUCAGGGUCUUUAACUUGUCACUCAACAUACAGGUCUCUCUUUCACCUUCAGCUUCUUCCUGCCUCUCUGUUGUAGCAGUCACUGGAUCAC
rnacentral:lncRNA from 1 species